rnacentral:lncRNA from 1 species
CCUAGAGCGGGCAGAGAAGAUGGGCCAGAAUCUCAACCGUAUUCCAUACAAGGACACAUUCUGGAAGGGGACCACCCGCACUCGGCCCCGUGAGUCACCACUGUGGGAAGAAGGGUUGUAAAAGGAAAUAAUCCUGGCCUCUUGGGGCUGGGUUAGGGUGAAGCUGGGUACCUGACCUGCCCACACUCUUAGGAAAUGGAACCCUGAACAAACACUCUGGCAUUGACUUCAAACAGCUUAACUUCCUGACGAAGCUCAACGAGAAUCACUCUGGAGAGCUAUGGAAGGGCCGCUGGCAGGGCAAUGACAUUGUCGUGAAGGUGCUGAAGGUUCGAGACUGGAGUACAAGGAAGAGCAGGGACUUCAAUGAAGAGUGUCCCCGGCUCAGGAUUUUCUCGCAUCCAAAUGUGCUCCCAGUGCUAGGUGCCUGCCAGUCUCCACCUGCUCCUCAUCCUACUCUCAUCACACACUGGAUGCCGUAUGGAUCCCUCUACAAUGUACUACAUGAAGGCACCAGU